rnacentral:rRNA from 1 species
AUUGAACGCUGGCGGCAGGCUUAACACAUUCAAGUCGAGCGAGCGGCGGACGGGUGAGUAAUGUCUGGUAAACUGCCUGAUGGAGGGGGAUAACUACUGGAAACGGUAGCUAAUACCGCAUACCAUCAGAUGUGCCCAGAUGGGAUUAGCUAGAAGGUGGGGUAAUGGCUCACCUAGGCGACGAUCCCUCGCUGGUCUGAGAGGAUGACCAGCCACACUGGAACUGAGACACGGGCCAGAAGACUACGGGAGGCAUCAGUGGGGACUAUUGAAAAAUGGGCGCAAGCCUUAUGCAGCCAUGCCGCGUGUGUGAAGAAGGCCUUCGGGUUGUAAAGCACUUGCAGCGAGGAGGCGUUACUCGCAGAAGAAGCACCGGCUAACUCCGUGCCAGCAGCCGCGGUAAUUC